rnacentral:tRNA from 1 species
CUUCUCGUAGCUUUGUGGUAAGAGUACUGGUUCGUAAAACCAUCAGGAGUCCGGGUUCAAUUCCCAGCGAGGGAA